rnacentral:rRNA from 1 species
UCCUACGGGAGGCAGCAGUGGGGAAUUUUUCCGCAAUGGGCGAAAGCCUGACGGAGCAACGCCGCGUGAGGGAUGAAGGCCUCUGGGCUGUAAACCUCUUUUAUCAAGGAAGAAGAUCUGACGGUACUUGAUGAAUAAGCCACGGCUAAUUCCGUGCCAGCAGCCGCGGUAAUACGGGAGUGGCAAGCGUUAUCCGGAAUUAUUGGGCGUAAAGCGUCCGCAGGCGGCCCUUCAAGUCUGCUGUUAAAAAGUGGAGCUUAACUCCAUCAUGGCAGUGGAAACUGUUGGGCUUGAGUGUGGUAGGGGCAGAGGGAAUUCCCGGUGUAGCGGUGAAAUGCGUAGAUAUCGGGAAGAACACCAGUGGCGAAGGCGCUCUGCUGGGCCAUCACUGACGCUCAUGGACGAAAGCCAGGGGAGCGAAAGGGAUUAGAUACCCCUGUAGUCCUGGCCGUAAACGAUGAACACUAGGUGUCGGGGGAAUCGACCCCCUCGGUGUCGUAGCCAACGCGUUAAGUGUUCCGCCUGGGGAGUACGCACGCAAGUGUGAAACUCAAAGGAAUUGACGGGGA